AUCUGGUGGUGAGGGCAUUCUCAUAUGUAACCCUGAAAGCAUUCCCACGCCUCAAGGACAGAUUCAUCGUACUGCUACUAAAAACUUGAGAUCUUUGCACGUAGGGC
rnacentral:snoRNA from 1 species